AUACGGAGGGUGCAAGCGUUAAUCGGAAUUACUGGGCGUAAAGCGUACGUAGGCGGUUCGUUAAGUUAGAUGUGAAAGCCCCGGGCUUAACCUGGGAACUGCAUUUAAAACUGGCGGACUAGAGUUGAGUAGAGGGGAGUGGAAUUUCAGGUGUAGCGGUGAAAUGCGUAGAGAUCUGAAGGAACACCAGUGGCGAAGGCGACUCCCUGGACUCGAACUGACGCUGAGGUACGAAAGCGUGUGUAGCAAACGGGAUUAGAAACCCUUGUAGUCC
rnacentral:rRNA from 1 species